rnacentral:rRNA from 1 species
UACAGAGGUCUCAAGCGUUGUUCGGAUUCAUUGGGCGUAAAGGGUGCGUAGGCGGCGCGGUAAGUCGGGUGUGAAAUCUCGGAGCUUAACUCCGAAACUGCAUUCGAUACUGCCGUGCUUGAGGACUGGAGAGGAGACUGGAAUUUACGGUGUAGCGGUGAAAUGCGUAGAUAUCGUAAGGAAGACCAGUGGCGAAGGCAGUGCCCUGGGAGGCAACUGACGCUGAGGUGCGAAAGCCAGGGGAGCGAACGGG